rnacentral:rRNA from 1 species
GACGAACGCUGGAGGCGUGCUUAACACAUGCAAGUCGAACGAUGAAAUGGAGCUUGCUCCAUGGAUUAGUGGCGAACGGGGGAGUAACACGUGAAUAACUUGCCUUUAAUUUUGGAAUAACCUAGGGAAACCUGGGCUAAUACCGGAUAAGUAAACCUGUGGCAUCAAAUGGGUUUGGAAAGUUUUUCGAUUAAGGAUGGAUUCGCGGCCUAUCAGCUUGUUGGUGAGGUAAUGGCUCACCAAGGCGACGACGGGUAGCCGGCCUGAGAGGGUGAACGGCCACACUGGGACUGAGACACGGCCCAGACUCCUACGGGAGGCAGCAGUGGGGAAUAUUGCGCAAUGGACGAAAGUCUGACGCAGCGACGCCUCGUGAGGGACGAAGGUCUUCGGAUUGUAAACCUCUUUCAGCAGGGACGAAGCGAAAGUGACGGUACCUGCAGAAGAAGCACCGGCUAACUAUGUGCCAGCCGCCGCCGUAA